AAUGCUCCUGUCCUUCUAUUCUCUUCUAUUAGUGGCUUUCAGAAUCCAAAAUCCAUAUUGGUUUUGACCACAUCAUUUUCAGUAAUCCUUUUCUGUCAGUUUCUUGGAAGCUGCAGUUAGUGGUUAUCUCUGAAUUUGAGGUAGUGGUAAAACUCUCCUCUCCAGCAAGUAAUUAAGUUGGAUCCUUAAGAGAGCAGUAGUACAUAGGUAUGUGUGUGUAUAAAUUUUACCUUAACUGAAGUCUGUUAAAUUAAGAACGAUUAUGAUGCUAAUAAUAGUUAUCCUUUGAACCCCUCCCAUUUAUCAGGCACUGUGAGGUGAGGAAAGAAAGCUUAGACAGGAUACAGCUCUUAAGUACUACCACUGUCUUGCCCAAGUUGUUGAUGGUCUUCGAACCCCCAAAACCAAUUUGCAAUAGUGGAAAAGUCAUUCUUAACUAUCCUGUAGGGUUGUGGUGUGAAGUGAGAUGAUGUGUGUGAAAAGCAAUGUGUAAACUGUAAGGUGCCUUCAACCCAGGACAAUAUUUUACCCCAAGAAGUUGGGGACGUUGGACGCUUAUGAGUCCUUGAGUCUUGGUGUCUGCUGGAUGUGGUGUAAGAUGUGCUGAGCCCAUUGCCUGAUCCCUCUGAGCUUGAUUUCUGCCUUAUGUCAAAUCAGGGUGAUAGUAUCUGCCUUUCCCUCAGUGAGAUGUACUUGUGAGUUGCAGUGGGUCCUCAGGAACCUCUUUUUUCUCCCCUUGCCCAGGGGCACUUUUGGGAUAAGGGGUUGCAGGAAGCAGCCAGAGCGGUUGUCCCCCUCCCCCCACCGCAGUUAGAAUCUCCAACACUAGAAGGGGAGAUCGAGGCAGAAUAAUCACUUAGGUCGUCAGUGUAGGAGCAGGGGCUCCGAUGCAUUCUUUGAUAUGGCCAUUGAUUAACAUUUGCGGCUUAAGGGCUCCAGGGAGUAACAUACCCACAGGCCUCGUUUACUGUAGGGAGACACCCAGAUGGAUGUUAGUCCCUAAUCGCCUGUGACUCAGUUUAUGGUGAGAAAAGGGCCAAGAAAUGAUGAGACUUACAGGACAUUUCUGCCCCUAAGACCCCUAUUGGACAAGGACUGAUAUAGGUAACUGAGCAAAGCCAAUAGGAGAAAACCUCAUCUUUCUGAACCCCACGUUGGUCCCCCCCGCUCCAGCUGUAAGAGGCAAAAACCCCUAUAGGGCAAUAGAGAGGGGAUGCUCGUCUUCCCCCUCCCAGCAGCCCUGGUAAAGCCUUUGCUUGCUUGCUGGAAGAAGAAAAAGGUACAUUUUGAAGUCCUUACAAAUAAUUCUUUGAGCUUUUCCCUUCCCACCCCACCCCUAACACAUGCAGUGAAUAGUCUAGGCCCUGCCAUCAUCUAAAAGGAGGAAACUGAACCAAACCAGAAGCCAGAAAGGACAGGUCUUUUGGUGGGAGGUUGAAGAUGGCCGUAGCUAGUUUCCUUGUGCCCAUUUUGUGCCCUUCUCCCCUCUUUUAUUCGUUUUGUUGGGCAGUGGAGAGAUACUGGAUUUGGAGCUUUCUCGCUGUAGGAGGCACUGUGAGAGCUCUAGUGUCAGAUGGGAGGGCAGGGCACAUGGGGGCUGGAAAGGAGAUGGAUUUGGCAGUAGGAUCUGGAAAGUUUGGCGCGGUGGCAAUCUGCGAGAUGUAGGAUCUGGCUAAGUACGGGGCCAGUUUCCCUCCAGUCCUAUAAGGCUCUCUCUCGGAGCUUGGAAGUUUUCAUGCUCCAGGCAGCUUUUGACUGGUUGUGGUGGCAUCAUAAAUGAGUUUCCAUAGUAAGUUGUAUGCGGAAAAAGGAAAUUAAAUUCCGAGAGGGUGUUUUGUUGUGACUGAUGCCAGAAUUUCUCUGAGAAUUUUAUUAAGAUUCAGUCAGUCUAUAAAAGUACUUUUUAGUUCUCUGAAGAUAUUAAUUAAAAAAUGGUUAAAAAAAAAAAAAAAGCCAGAAGUGUCUCCUUUGUGAGCUUUUGAAAUGUAAUCUUCCUAAAUCUUUGGGGGAAAAAAAUGAAGUCUAAAAAAAAACCACAGAGCUGUAUGUUUUAAGAGCAGUUCCUUCAAAGUAAUGUUUUCCUUCUCUUCCUGUCCUUUCUCCUCCUCUCACAUUAUUGUGAUUGUUGAUUUUGGUUUCUUUCACAUCUCCCUAGCCUAGUUUUUACGUUUAUGACCUUUUUUUUUUUUUUUGCUUUUUAGGGCCGCACGCGUGGCAUGUGGCGGUUCCCAGCUUAGGGGUCUAAUCAGAGCUGCAGCUGCCCGUCUACACCACAGCCACGCCAGACCUACACUGCAGCUCAGGGCAAAGCUGGAUCCUUAACCCACUGAGUGAGGCCAUUGAUCAAACCUGCAACCUCCUGGUUCCUAAUUGGAUUCAUUUCUGCUGCGCCACAACGGGAACUCCAAUUUUUUUUUUUUUGAUGUUGAAUGUGCCUUCUUUUCUCCUGAGUUUACUCAUCUUCUUUCAUCAAGAAGGGGGAGCACGGUGAGGUAGUGAAGAGCACGGGGUCCGGAGCCAGGCUGGGGACAGCAAGGGUCAUGGUGGUUCUUGGAGAGCCGGGCUCUCCUCUGCUUGGAUUCACCACCCCCUACCCCAGAGGCUCUCGAGGGCAAUUAUUAUUCUGUCACACCGAUGAGGGAACGGGCACAGAAGUGCCUGUGUCCACACAGCCAGUGAGGGGGUGGCCUUGGUGGCAGCUGUGAUCCCUGUGACUCCACCGCAGGGCUAGGCAGAGGUCCUGCUCCCCUGCCAGGGUGGGCUCCGUCCUAUAGGCAGGGGCUUCGUUAAGUGAGAGGGUCAGGACUGUGGUUUUGAAAGGUGGCCUCAUGGGCAGUGUGCAGUAUGACAUGAGCAGCACGGAAAUGGGCAUGAGACAGGGCGGGGGCUUGAACUGAAGACGGCGGCAGUGGUGACAGAGCAAAGGGGACAGGUUGGCAUGGGUGCUGCUCAGUCCUCUGGAUUGGGGCCCAGAGAGGGAGGAGGUGAGUCUGGGAGCGCUUUCCUCUCCUCAGCCUUCCCUACUGCUGGUUUUCAUCCCCGCAGGCUGGGUGGGUAUUGGAGAUACUCACUCUGUGCAGACUGAAAGCAGUCUCUUUAGGAAUCAAGGUCACCUCCUUUGUGCCCUGUGACAGCCAGAGAAAGGUGCCUGAGCAAAACCCCAAUGCGUCUUCCCCGGUCUUUGCCCACCUGCUCUGGCCUUAUCGUUUGCCCCUUUCCUGGAGCAUCUCAGGAUGGAAUUCAGGUUCUCAGACCCCAGUUAGGGAAAUACCGGUUUGAACAUUCAAACUUAAACUGAAAGUAUUGAAAGGAAAAAGCCCCUAAAGAAGGAAGCCUCUCUGGGGUGUAGGGGGUGCCCCACUGUUCCCCAGUGGACCCCCCCAGGGGCUGUGGUCCUCAGUUCUGGCUGUUCCCCAAGGGCUGAGCUGCCUCUAGGCAGGGGCUGGGGUGACUUGUGGUCACCAGGCAUGACGGGCUGGUGGGGGAGGGGGAGGCGGUGGCUGUGGGCGAGUUCUCAGUGGUGGCCUGCCUGGCCAGGAGGUGAGACCACCCUCCCCUGAAGGGUGCAGCUUCCGUGGAGAGCCGGGCUCUACUCAGCAGCACCAGAGUCAGAGCAAGGGGAUGUGGUUGGUCCCUGGUUGCUAGUAUGCACGCAUCCCCAUCAUAGGCUGCGCUCAUGCCAUGUCAGGAAUGUGCUGGUCCCGUGCCCUCUCCCCUGGUCAGUGCCAGAGUCCCUAAUAAACUUUCCCAGGCCUCGGUCUUCCAGACCGCAUAGUGCCCAGAUUCGUCAGAGAGUUUGUUCUUGCUGGGCUCCAGCCAGUUGGUCGGGUCCAGCUCUGCUUGGGCCGUGACCUCCUUGCGAGGAGGCCAAGAGUCACUUUAUCGGCCUGCCCGCUUCCCGCAUCCACAGGCACAGCCAACUCUGCAGUGAGUCGGUGUACAUGACUCUGCUCCCCCACUGUUUGGUGGUCACCCCUUUCCCUCCAAGAUGUGACUUCCUUUCCGUGUCCCAAGGGUGGCCCCCAGCCAGGGACCGUUCAAGUACCCAUUGAGUUUGGCGCCUAACACGGUGCCCAAUUCAGUGAGAGGGGAGCGUGUUUUGCCUGGGGGUGUUCACUGUCAGCCUCCGUCCUGAACAUCAGGUCCUAAGCAGAGCCCCUCUUUUCCUGCUUUGCUCCAUGUUUAGCUGCAUGUGUGUGUUUAUUUUAAUUAUUACUGGGAAGCGAAAAAAAAAAAUCAAAUGUUUGAAUUUCCAGAAGUGUUAAUAUGGACAAGCAGAGAGAGUAACUAUAUAUUUAUCCAGCGUACUCCUGAUUUCUCUCUCCCCUCCACGUCGUUGCCGUUUUGUUGGCAGAGCCAUGUCAUUUGUGUACUGGAUCAGUUGGGAUUUCAGUAUCGAGUGUGAAAAGAGGUCUGUCUGGUUGUUUGCCGAAGUGGAGGGACUCGGGUGGGUGGACUUUGGGCUUCCAGCCUUGGCUCAGCCUCGCACCCGGUGCCUCUGUCGGGAAGGUGGUGUUUGGCCAGGCUGUUUCUUUGGCUUCUCCUGGGAGCAGUUGUGCUGGUGACAGCAGGUGGCCUCCUCUCUGCUAUGGAAAGGGAAUGCUCCCUAAUCCUGGUUUUUACUUCCUUCUCAUCCUGUGGGGGUGAGAGCGAAGAAAACCUAGAAAAUUAU
rnacentral:lncRNA from 1 species